AACUUAGGCUGACCAAAGACCUUCAAAGUCCUAAGCGGAGGUUAAAUCCCUUCAGUUUCUGUAGGACUUG
rnacentral:tRNA from 1 species